GUCACGGUGCCAGAGUGGUUAAUGGGUAAGACUUGAAUUCCGAGAAUUCUAGCCAUCUUAUGGCUUCGGCCGCGCAAGUUCAAAUCUUGUCCGUGACG